rnacentral:rRNA from 1 species
GAUGAACGCUGGCAGCGUGCCUAAUACAUGCAAGUCGAGCGAACGGACGAGAAGCUUGCUUCUCUGAUGUUAGCGGCGGACGGGUGAGUAACACGUGGAUAACCUACCUAUAAGACUGGGAUAACUUCGGGAAACCGGAGCUAAUACCGGAUAAUAUUUUGAACCGCAUGGUUCAAAAGUGAAAGACGGUCUUGCUGUCACUUAUAGAUGGAUCCGCGCUGCAUUAGCUAGUUGGUAAGGUAACGGCUUACCAAGGCAACGAUGCAUAGCCGACCUGAGAGGGUGAUCGGCCACACUGGAACUGAGACACGGUCCAGACUCCUACGGGAGGCAGCAGUAGGGAAUCUUCCGCAAAGGGCGAAAGCCUGACGGAGCAACGCCGCGUGAGUGAUGAAGGUCUUCGGAUCGUAAAACUCUGUUAUUAGGGAAGAACAUAUGUGUAAGUAACUGUGCACAUCUUGACGGUACCUAAUCAGAAAGCCACGGCUAACUACGUG